rnacentral:rRNA from 1 species
UACGGGGGGGGCAAGCGUUGUUCGGAAUUACUGGGCGUAAAGGGCUCGUAGGUGGCCAACUAAGUCAGACGUGAAAUCCCUCGGCUUAACCGGGGAACUGCGUCUGAUACUGGAUGGCUUGAGUUCGGGAGAGGGAUGCGGAAUUCCAGGUGUAGCGGUGAAAUGCGUAGAUAUCUGGAGGAAUACCGGUGGCGAAGGCGGCAUCCUGGACCGGUAUUGACGCUGAGGCGCGAAAGCCAGGGGAGCAAACGGG